rnacentral:rRNA from 1 species
UACGAAGGGUGCAAACGUUGCUCGGAAUUAUUGGGCGUAAAGCGCACGUAGGCGGCUUAGCAAGUUGGAUGUGAAAGCCCUCGGCUUAACCAAGGAAGUGCAUCCAAAACUGCUGAGCUUGAGUAGUUAAGAGGAUCGCGGAAUUCCCGGUGUAGAGGUGAAAUGCGUAGAUAUCGUAAGGAAGACCAGUGGCGAAGGCGGGUCUCUGGACAGUUCCUGACGCUGAGGCACGAAGGCCAGGGGAGCAAACGGG